AGUGAACGCUGGCGGCAGGCCUAAUACAUGCAAGUCGAACGGCAGCACAGCAGAGCUUGCUCUGUGGGUGGCGAGUGGCGGACGGGUGAGGAAUACGUGGGAAUCUGCCCAGUCGUGGGGGAUAACGUAGGGAAACUUACGCUAAUACCGCAUGCGCCCUUCGGGGAAAGCCGGGGACCUUCGGGCCUGGCGCGAUUGGAUGAGCCCACGUCGGAUUAGCUAGUUGGCGGGGUAAAGGCCCACCAAGGCGACGAUCCGUAGCUGGUCUGAGAGGAUGAUCAGCCACACUGGAACUGAGACACGGUCCAGACUCCUACGGGAGGCAGCAGUAGGGAAUAUUGGACAAUGGGCGCAAGCCUGAUCCAGCCAUGCCGCGUGAGUGAAGAAGGCCCUCGGGUGUAAAGCUCUUUGUCCGGAAAGAAAGCGCCGGGUUAAUACCCUGGUGUCCUGACGGUACCGGAAGAAUAAGCACCGGCUAACUCGUGCCAGCAGCCGCGGUAAU
rnacentral:rRNA from 1 species